UACGGAGGGUGCGAGCGUUGUCCGGAAUCACUGGGCGUAAAGGGCGCGUAGGCGGCGCGGGCAGUCAACGGUGAAAGCUUGGGGCUCAACCCCGAGUCGGCCGUCGAUACUCCCGUGCUUGAGCACUGUAGAGGCAGGUGGAAUUCCGGGUGUAGCGGUGGAAUGCGUAGAUAUCAGGAGGAACACCUGUGGUGUAGACAGCUUACUGGACCACUUCUGACGCUGAGACACGAAAGCGUGGGUAGCAAACAGG
rnacentral:rRNA from 1 species